rnacentral:rRNA from 1 species
ACGCUGGCGGUGCGCCUUAUGCAUGCAAGUCGAGCGAAGCUUUUCAGUAGUUUACUACAGAAAAUGACUGAGCGGCGAACGGGUGAGUAACGCGUGAGCAACCUACCUUAGUUACUGGGAUAGCCCGAGGAAACUCGGAUUAAUACCGGAUAUUCUUAUUUAAUCACAUGAUUUUUUAAGGAAAGGUCAGCCGAACUAAGAUGGGCUCGCGUUCUAUCAGCUAGUUGGUAGGGUAAUGGCCUACCAAGGCUACGACGGAUAGCUGGUCUGAGAGGACGAUCAGCCACACUGGGACUGAGACACGGCCCAGACUCCUACGGGAGGCUGCAGCAGGGAAUAUUGCGCAAUGAGCGAAAGCUUGACGCAGCGACACCGCGUGUGGGAUGACGGAUCUAGGUUUGUAAACCACUUUCAGGAGGGAAGAAAAUGACGGUACCUCCACAAGAAGCCCCGGCCAACUACGUGCCAGCAGCCGCGGUAAUACGUAGGGGGCGAGCGUUGUCCGGAUUUAUUGGGCGUAAAGAGCUCGUAGGCGGUUCAACAAGUCGGUCGUGAAAGUUCAGGGCUCAACCCUGAAAUGUCGAUCGAUACUGUUGUGACUAGGAUACGGUAGAGGUGAGUGGAAUUCCGAGUGUAGCGGUGAAAUGCGUAGAUAUUCGGAGGAACACCAAUUGCGAAGGCAGCUCACUGGGCCGCUAUCGACGCUGAGGAGCGAAAGCUAGGGGAGCAAACAGGAUUAGAUACCCUGGUAGUCCUAGCUGUAAACGAUGGAUACUAGACGUAGGAAUUGGAUUAACGAUUUCUGUGUCGUAGCUAACGCGUUAAGUAUCCCGCCUGGGGAGUACGGUCG